rnacentral:rRNA from 1 species
GACGAACGCUGGCGGCGUGCUUAACACAUGCAAGUCGAACGGAAAGGCCCUGCUUUUGUGGGGUGCUCGAGUGGCGAACGGGUGAGUAACACGUGAGUAACCUGCCCUUGACUUUGGGAUAACUUCAGGAAACUGGGGCUAAUACCGGAUAGGAGCUCCUGCUGCAUGGUGGGGGUUGGAAAGUUUCGGCGGUUGGGGAUGGACUCGCGGCUUAUCAGCUUGUUGGUGGGGUAGUGGCUUACCAAGGCUUUGAAGGGUAGCCGGCCUGAGAGGGUGACCGGCCACAUGGGGACUGAGAUACGGCCCAGACUCCUACGGGAGGCAGCAGGGGGGAAUAUUGCACAAUGGGCGGAAGCCUGAUGCAGAAACGCCGCGUGCGGGAUGACGGCCUUCGGGUGGUAAACCGCUUUCGCCUGUGACGAAGCGUGAGUGACGGUAAUGGGUAAAGAAGCACCGGCUAACUACGUG